GGACUGCUCAGUUCCCCGCGGGUCACAGAGAGGAGGGGCUGGAGGUCUCGGGGUUCCUCCCCAGACUUGCCCAGACUUAGCUGGCAGUUACGCAACGGGAGAGCGGGACCCGGGCGUGGUCCGUCUACGCCUGGACGCUUCUCCCUAAGAAUCUCGAGAAUUGGACACCUUUUCUGCAGUCUACCCCAGCGUCGCUAGGAGAAGAAUUUACCAACUCAAAUCUGGCCCAAGCGUGGACCGUCUAGAUAAGGAAGCGGAUCACAAAAACAAAUUGGUCUCUAAACUCAUCACUUCUUAUCAGGAAAUGUGUAAAAUGAGAAAAAGAAAGAGAGGAUGGAGGCCAGAGCAGAAGCCAGUGGAGCCUGAGAAGGAGCUGCAGUGGAGCAGAAGCCUCAGGUUGAGAUGAUGACAUUACAAGAUGAAAAUAGCAUGGAUCACUGGAAGCAAGCUGCCUGGGGGAGCCACUUGACCUGCAGUGGACGUUGCAUGAGAAAGAAAUGUACUUUUAAGUGAUCGGCCACUGACGUUCAGAUGAAGAGGAUAAAUGGGUCCAGAAAUAGGAAUUGUAUGAUGCUGGUGUACGAUCUAUUGAUGCUGGACGUGGAGGAGAACCAAGAGUCAAGACAUGGAUUGAAAACGAAAAGCUGAAAAAGCUCACAAGAAGACAACAGGGGCCAGCUCCAAGGCUCAGUGUGUCUAGAGAAGAGGUCUUCUGCUCCUACAACAGAAUCUCCAAUGGCAAUCAACUGAGCGACAAAUCUUUCCCCUUCGCCUUGUAGGAUAAAGCCGAGCCCAGUGAAAGGAAAAUGAAAGUACAGCAAAGAGCCCAUACCCGAGCAUUCUAAAAUGGCAGAAUCACAUGACGGAAG
rnacentral:lncRNA from 1 species